rnacentral:rRNA from 1 species
UACAGAGGUGGCAAGCGUUGUUCGGAAUUACUGGGCGUAAAGGGCGCGUAGGCGGCCUUCUAAGUCGAACGUGAAAUCCCCGGGCUCAACCCGGGAACUGCGUCCGAUACUGGAAGGCUUGAAUUCGGGAGAGGGAUGCGGAAUUCCAGGUGUAGCGGUGAAAUGCGUAGAUAUCUGGAGGAACACCGGUGGCGAAGGCGGCAUCCUGGACCGGCAUUGACGCUGAGGCGCGAAAGCCAGGGGAGCAAACGGG